AUACAUUAAAAAAGUACAUUAAUCAGGAGGAAGCAUGAUAAAUAUACAGCAUUUGUGUUCAGCUCGACUAAAGCAAAAAUGAUUCAAAUUAAAGGAAUGCUUUGCAUACAUUGCUUGUGUACUGCCAGUGCAAAAACACAAAAUCUUACCAAGUAUUUUCUACUGCAGAUAUGUUAGUAGCUACCCUUGAAACAAGAAAAAACUAACUUACAAGUAACUUUUCAGGAAGAAACAGAAGCUUAUUUUUAAAUCAAUAAUUCCCUAGUAUUGAUGAAAAAGUAUUAGUUACAUUGGCAGAUUAUUUCACUUACAACAUGGAAAAAACGUUGUGAAAAAAAUCUGCUGUUGGAACUAGAACUGGGUUGCUAGGUGACGGCCUGGAAUUGGCUAGGGUUGCUAGGAAACGGCUUUGUGCCAGUUGAUUGUGGAUCUAAUACUUUUUUCAUGAGCAUAAAAGUCAUUGACUUAAAACAAGCUCCUAUUUCUUGUUAAAAACUUACAGGAAUGUCGGAGGAGGAGGGAGAUGAGCAGGAGUGAUGUGAAAGAUUAUGUGCAAAGUAACUACACAGAUCAGCUUUUGUAUUGAAUUACAAAAUGCUUCCCAGUACGGCGGCCAGGACGGCUGCACCGACGGCGGCGCUGAAGGUCAUCC